UCCCCUGACCAGGAGUCCCUCCUCGCCGAGCGACACCAUGCAGCAAGCAUACAGGGAGUGUCUACAACCACUCACUGACUCUGUCAUAAAGACCGACAAGCUGAAUCGCUCAGCCAACGAAGGUUGUACUCCGGCAACUAGCUACUAUGUAUAGUAUAAAAAAGGAUCAAACAGGAAAUAUUUACACUCCCCCUCUGACACGCUCCCGCUUGCAAGCCAUUAGCAUGGUUAUACUAGAGGACGAAACAUUCUAUUCGAGCAGGGCUGACCAUGACUGUACGAAUCCUUGGACUCAAGGAAGAACGGGGGGAUGAGAAUCCAGGAACAAAGAACAAGAGAUUGGCUCUUGCGUAAGAGUGUAUUUAAAAUGCGACUACGCCAGGAUUCGAAACAACUUAUAUUGAAAGUCUCAGUACCAUUGGCAGAUAUCCCAUCAGAACCCUCGUCUUGGCUAACCACCCUGCGCUUACCGCGCAUGAAGCUCUGUGAUAUCACCAUGCAAUA
rnacentral:sRNA from 2 species